UACGUAGGGUGCAAGCGUUAAUCGGAAUUACUGGGCGUAAAGCGUGCGCAGGCGGUUUUGUAAGUCUGACGUGAAAUCCCCGAGCUUAACUUGGGAAUUGCGUUGGAGACUGCAAGGCUGGAGUCUGGCAGAGGGGGGGUAGAAUUCCACGUGUAGCAGUGAAAUGCGUAGAGAUGUGGAGGAACACCGAUGGCGAAGGCAGCCCCCCUGGGUCAAGACUGACGCUCAUGCACGAAAGCGUGGGGGAGCAAACAGG
rnacentral:rRNA from 1 species